rnacentral:rRNA from 1 species
GGAAGGUGCAAGCGUUAAUCGGAAUUACUGGGCGUAAAGCGCGCGUAGGCGGCUAGAUUAGUCGGGUGUGAAAGCCCUGGGCUCAACCUGGGAACUGCAUUCGAUACUGUCUAGCUAGAGUCUGGUAGAGGGAGGCGGAAUUCCGCAUGUAGCGGUGAAAUGCGUAGAGAUGCGGAGGAACACCAAUGGCGAAGGCAGCCUCCUGGACUAACACUGACGCUGAGGCGCGAAAGCGUGGGGAGCAAACAGGAUUAGAUACCCUGGUAGUCCACGCCCGUAAACGAUGUCAACUAGCCGUUGGGAGCAUUUUGGCUCUUGGUGGCGCAGCUAACGCGAUAAGUUGACCGCCUGGGGAGUACGGUCGCAAGAUUA